rnacentral:rRNA from 1 species
UACGUAGGGUGCAAGCGUUAAUCGGAAUUACUGGGCGUAAAGGGCGCGUAGGCGGCCUUCUAAGUCGAACGUGAAAUCCCCGGGCUCAACCCGGGAACUGCGUCCGAUACUGGAAGGCUUGAAUCCGGGAGAGGGAUGCGGAAUUCCAGGUGUAGCGGUGAAAUGCGUAGAUAUCUGGAGGAACACCGGUGGCGAAGGCGGCAUCCUGGACCGGUAUUGACGCUGAGGCGCGAAAGCCAGGGGAGCAAAUGGG